rnacentral:rRNA from 1 species
UACGGAGGAUGCAAGCGUUAUCCGGAUUUAUUGGGUUUAAAGGGUGCGUAGGCGGGAUGAUAAGUCAGCGGUGAAAGUUUGAGGCUCAACCUUAAAAUUGCCGUUGAAACUGUUUUUCUUGAGUAUAUUUGAAGUAGGCGGAAUUCGUGGUGUAGCGGUGAAAUGCAUAGAUAUCACGAAGAACUCCAAUUGCGAAGGCAGCUUACUAAACUAUAACUGACGCUGAAGCACGAAAGCGUGGGUAUCAAACAGG